rnacentral:rRNA from 1 species
GAUGAACGCUGGCGGCGUGCCUAAUACAUGCAAGUCGAGCGAACAUAUUAGGAGCUUGCUCCUCUGACGUUAGCGGUGGACGGGUGAGUAACACGUGGAUAACCUACCUAUAAGACUGGGAUAACUUCGGGAAACCGGAGCUAAUACCGGAUAAUAUAUUGAACCGCAUGGUUCAAUAGUGAAAGACGGUUUUGCUGUCACUUAUAGAUGUAUCCGCGCCGCAUUAGCUAGUUGGUAAGGUAACGGCUUACCAAGGCAACGAUGCGUAGCCGACCUGAGAGGGUGAUCGGCCACACUGGAACUGAGACACGGUCCAGACUCCUACGGGAGGCAGCAGUAGGGAAUCUUCCGCAAUGGGCGAAAGCCUGACGGAGCAACGCCGCGUGAGUGAUGAAGGUCUUCGGAUCGUAAAACUCUGUUAUUAGGGAAGAACAAAUGUGUAAGUAACUAUGCACGUCUUGACGGUACCUAAUCAGAAAGCCACGGCUAACUACGUG